AAAUCCAUCUGAUGGAACUGGCUGGGAAUACCCAGGCAGCUUCAUUUCUCACAUGGUAGGAGGGACCAUUACUGAAACCUGUGAAUCUUCAGGCAGAAACUCCCUUGCAUGUUCAUACUCUCAGAUUGCCUACAUGAGCAUUAGGAUUUUUGUUUUUUAUUUUUGUUUAAUAAAAUUAUACAAGUGACAUUUCUGCUUCUUACGGUGAGUUCCUCCAUGGAUGAUCCCAGAGCCUGCACAAGCACAGGGCUCACUGAAGAUGGUGGGACCCUUUGGGUGAAUCAUGAGAGCAGACUGGAGGAGCCUUUGGAUAUCCUUCCCAGCAGCCUCACCGAGAUCACUUUCAGCUUUGGGAUGAAACUGCAACAGCCACAAUGAGCAAAUUUGAAACAGGGCUGAGGAAAUGCUGCAUUUACCUCUCAUGCUCCUGACACUUGACUGCAGCCAUUUGAAGUUACAGAAAUAAGAUGCAUGAUACCAGGAUGUGACCAUUGACAGUUUGGGAAAUAAGCAAUGACCAUUUUUUUUCCCCCUCAGAAGUCUUAAUUUUGGACUUGAUAUAUUAAGCACAUGCUUUGCUACCAUUUAUCGUGCUCUUCUGUCUCCAAAACAACACAGAUAAUGCAAUGACUUGACACACUUCAUGCCACCUCAGUCUUAAAAAUUGAGAAAUCCUACCAGCUUCUGGUUGAUGGUGAGAAGGUGAGCUAGAACUAAACAUGUUCCUGACUGACCAUGCCAAGGCAAUUAAAAAACCAGUAAUGAAUAGUUGAAUGUGACUUACGAACUUUUACUGUGAGAAGAGAGAUCACAGAUGUGGUUCUGCACAGAACACUUUAAAUGACAGGCUAUAGAUCAAAAUAUUAACAGUCAAUAAGUAUUUUAGAAAACAAAGAUGCUAGAGAUAAUAUUCCAGCUUGUGUUGUUUUGUGAAUGUUGCUUAAUUACUUCUCCUGCAGUUGUUGGCACAGAAAUACUACACUGGGCUGGGAGUAAUUGCCAGUUCUCCACAGUAUUUCCUUGUCUCUCCUGUGAAAGGAUGAACUGUCAUCAUGUAUUUCAGCAUAAUCUGGAAUUCUUUCAAGAUUACUGUUCAUUUGCCUCAUCCUUUUAACAGAGGCAGGAGCUGGAUCAGCGGAACAGAUUUGACCCCAGCCAAUGGCUUUCAUGCAGAAUGAAACGUCUGAUUGCUUUUUAUGAAAAACGUUUGCUGAGAGAUCUGGUCAAGUUGGAGGCCCCACUUCCAGCAUGUUGGGACUGUUUGAGCUGAACACUGGUCUGUUUCCGAAGAUUAUUUCCAAGACUCUCCUCGUAGGAUCCCUUUAGUGCAUGAGCAGGGAUUGGAUGCAGUCCAGAGCAUCGCUUCCUACAGCUCGUGAUGAUCACGUUUUUCAUCACUCAUGUCUGUGUUGUACAAUGAGCAUUUGAAAUGGGCUUGAAGGAUAUCCUUGUCUCCCAGCAAGGAACAGCUGCUCCAGCUGUGUCCCAGGCUUCACAACAGUAGUUUCAACCUGACUCCUGUUGCUACAGAAGGCUGAUGAGUGCUUUCCAGGCUGGGGACUCCCCACCACGGGGACUCUGGUGUGCCUCUCUCUGUGCAUUUAAAAUAACUUUCCAGUUCCUUUUCUCCACAUUGGCUGAAUAAUGAAGGCUUGUUCAACUACAGUGGUAUGACCAGAGUGGUUCCUGAAAGCUAAUUCAAGGAACCACUUAAGCCCAUGGGCCUGAAA
ensembl:lncRNA